UCCUACGGGAGGCAGCAGUGAGGAAUUUUCGUCCUUUGUUCCGAGCCUGACCCAGCCAAGUAGCGUGAAGGAUGACUGCCCUACGGGUUGUAAACUUCUUUUAUAAAGGAAUAAAGUGAGGCACGUGUGCCUUUUUGUAUGUACUUUAUGAAUAAGGAUCGGCUAACUCCGUGCCAGCAGCCGCGGUAAUACGGAGGAUCCGAGCGUUAUCCGGAUUUAUUGGGUUUAAAGGGAGCGUAGAUGGGUUGUUAAGUCAGUUGUGAAAGUUUGCGGCUCAACCGUAAAAUUGCAAUUGAUACUGGCAG
rnacentral:rRNA from 1 species